rnacentral:rRNA from 1 species
GACAGAGGGUGCAAACGUUGUUCGGAAUUACUGGGCGUAAAGCGCGUGUAGGCGGCCCUGCAAGUCGGGUGUGAAAUCCCACGGCUCAACCGUGGAAGUGCACUCGAAACUGCAGGGCUAGAGUCCUGGAGAGGAAGGUGGAAUGCUUGGUGUAGAGGUGAAAUUCGUAGAUAUCAAGCGGAACACCGGUGGCGAAGGCGGCUAUCUGGACGGUUUCUGACGCUAAGACGCGAAAGCGUGGGGAGCAAACAGGG